CGUGUAGGCGGAGAUGCAAGUUGGGAGUGAAAUCCCGGGGCUCAACCCCGGAACUGCUUUCAAAACUGUAUCCCUUGAGUGUCGGAGAGGCAAGCGGAAUUCCUAGUGUAGCGGUGAAAUGCGUAGAUAUUAGGAGGAACACCAGUGGCGAAGGCGGCUUGCUGGACGAUAACUGACGCUGAGGCGCGAAAGCGUGGGGAGCAAACA
rnacentral:rRNA from 1 species